ACUUUAUAGUUUUAAAGUACUUUUUGUUGGAACUAUGCAUAGAAGAUUAGCAUUGCCUCAGUGCAAUGAUGACAUACAAAUUUAUAAAGCAUCCCAUAACUUU
rnacentral:snRNA from 1 species